CCAGAGAAACCAACGUCCCCUCCUAAGUCGAUGGAAGGCUAGAUUUUCCUUCUUUCCUUUGUAUGUUUUCCUAUCGCCACUUCCGAGCAUGCUUGGACCUGCGCCAGGCUCAGAAGAGAUUAUAUCCAACGCCCGGUGUACCGGCUCAGCGAUUCACUGGGCCAAUUUAUUUACGCCAGGUGGACUCUCUCGUUCCAAAAUCCUGGCCGGUCGCCCUCCAGCCGCCAUGGCCUCCGCCGUAGCCGCCGUGCGCCCCUCUCGUCACCCUCCAGCCCGUUGAGGGCGACAUCGCCAGCGAGGGAUCCAACUCCGCCCCCAUCCCCGACGUCCUCAAGGCCUCGAUCCGCUCCGACAUUGUCCUUUUCGUCCUCAAGGGCCAUUAGACCUCUGCGGCGGCGCUGUUGGUGGGUGUCCUCCUCGUCUCCAGUUUCGUCUGCGGCGGCGACCGCUCCCUCCUCUGCUCCGCCACCUACUCCUCCUCCUCCCAUUCGGCGGAGCUCACGGCGGCGCUCCUUCACUACGCCACCACAGCGCCGUCCCCGCAGCGCCUCCUGCAACUUCCUUGUCUUCGGCCUCGGCCAUGACUCCCUGAUGUGGUCGGCCUUCAACGCCGGUGGCACCACCGUCUUCCUCGAACAAGACCCCGCAUGGUUCCGAUCCGUCACCAAGGACUCCCCGACCCUCCGCGUCCACACCGGCGGUUACUGUACCCGCCCUGUCGACGCCGACGAUCUCCUCAAAACCCACCGAUCGGAGCCCUACUGCCUCCCGCCACCGCCGGCGCCUCUCAAGAACAACCAUCGCUGCCUCCGGCCACGCGGUACGCGGGCGACAAAACCAAAACGGGGCAGCGCUUGGUGUCAACAUGGCAAGAUACCAUUGGCCCGGUGUAUGGCUGAGUUAGUACACCGGGUGUAGGAAUUGACCCUUUCUCCAUCAUCUUCCCAUCUCCCUCUCUGGACAGUGAUUGCUUUCCAUCCCCAACCAUUUCUUCAAAACCCGCCGAGAGAAAAAUAAAUAAAUAAAUAAAAAGCUUAGAUCAGCCACGACUUCAAUAUCUCUGCCAAGUGACAUUUAAUUCGUGACUCACUUCCACUUCUUCCAGCUUUCUGAGAUUCUGAGACGGAGUUGUGGAUCGUGAUGGCUUAUACUCUUCCGAAGGAUUCUCUUUACCUUGGAUUUGAUUGCUCUACCCAGUCUCUAAAGGCAACAGUGCUGGAUGCCAGCCUUGUUAUUGUUGCUUCAGAAUUUGUCCAUUUUGAUUCUGAAUUGCCGCACUACAAAACCAAAGAUGGGGUCCACAGGGACCCCUGGGUCAAUGGUAGGAUUGUUUCUCCUACGUUGAUGUGGGUGCAGGCUUUGGACAUCUUACUUGAAAAACUGAAAGCAAAAGUGGAUUACGGAAAAGUUGCGGCCAUUUCAGGGAGUGCACAGCAACAUGGCACUGUGUACUGGAAGAAGGGCAGUACAGCCAUGUUGGCCUCUUUGGACCCCAGUAAACCUUUGGUAACUCAUCUUGGUGAUGCUUUCUCUCUAAAGGACUCACCAAUAUGGAUGGAUUGUAGCACCACCUCACAGUGCAGGGAAAUAGAAAAAGCUGUGGGUGGUGCAUUGGAGUUAUCAAAACUUACUGGGUCUUGUGCUCAUGAGAGAUAUCCAGGACCUCAGAUUCGGAAGAUAUUUGAAACACAACCAGAAGUUUACAAUGACACUGAGAGGAUCUCACUUGUUAGUUCCUUCAUGGCCUCUCUUCUUAUUGGAGGCCAUGCUAGCAUUGAUGAGACGGAUGGAGCAGGGAUGAACCUGAUGGAUAUUAAACGUCAUGUCUGGUCGAAUAUUGCAUUGGAGGCAACAGCACCAGGUUUAAACGAAAAACUUGGGAAAUUGGCACCAGCUUAUGCAGUUGCUGGUCUGAUAGCCCCUUAUUUUGUUGAGAGGUUCCAGUUUAAAGACAGCUGUCUAAUUAUUCAGUGGUCUGGAGAUAACCCUAAUAGUUUGGCAGGUUUGGCUCUCAAUACUCCUGGUGAUCUUGCAAUCAGUCUUGGAACCAGUGAUACAGUAUUUGGGAUAACUACUGAGCCUCAACCUAGCAUAGAAGGACAUGUUUUCCCUAAUCCUGUUGAUCCAACUUGUUAUAUGGUAAUGCUGGUCUACAAAAAUGGUUCUCUAACUCGAGAAGAUGUGCGCAAUCAGUAUGCAGAGCACUCUUGGGAUGUUUUCAACAAGUAUUUAGAAAAAACACCUCCUCUAAAUGGUGGAAAGUUAGGAUUCUUCUACAAAGAGCAUGAAAUAUUGCCUCCCCUGCCAGUUGGGUGCCACCGAUAUGUUCUGGAAAGCUUAAGCUGUGACUCACUAGAUGAAAUAAAAGAGCAUGAGGUGCGGGAGUUUGAUCCUCCUUCUGAGGUGCGUGCCAUCAUAGAAGGUCAAUUUCUGUCAAUGCGUGGUCAUGCAGAAAGGAUUGGUAUGCCAACUCCCAAGCGGAUAAUAGCAACUGGUGGGGCAUCAUCAAAUGCGUGCAUACUUAAAGUGAUUGCAAAUAUUUUUGGUUGUCCUAUUUAUACCGUCCAAAGACCUGGAAAUUGUAGUUUGUAAGUGGGUCAAAAAGGAAGCAUAUCUGAAAGAAGAUAAGCAAACUGAGCUCUGAUACAGAAUGCCCUCAGCCACAAGGAUGAUUAUGAACUAUCAUCAGUUGCUAUCCCAAGAGAUAUUAGUACAAGAUUCUGCUUCGCUGGGUGCUGCCUUGAGGGCAGCUCAUGGGUGGUUGUGCAAUAAAGAAAGUGUUUUCAUUCCCAUCUCAUGCAUGUACAAGGACAAGUUAGAUAAAACAUCGCUCAGUGCAAAACUUGUGAUCCCUGCUGGGGACAAAGAGCUUACAUCCAAGUACACCUUGCUGAUGAAAAAGAGAAUGCAAAUUGAGAAAGAUCUUGUUGAUAAGUUUGGGCGCAGUUAGGCCAGCUACUGAAAAUUGAUGCGCCGCAUGUUACAAAGUUACCAGAUGAUAAAGUUUAUUCCAGAAUAAAAUAUCCCCUAUUUUAAAUGCAGGUACAUCUAGCAGACUGAUGUGAUAUCGAUUCUCUAAUAACAUUUGGAAGAAACAAAUGCUAAUGAGAAUAUAAUUUGUUAACCUA